UGGGGGAAUUUUGGACAAUGGGCGAAAGCCUGAUCCAGCAAUGCCGCGUGUGUGAAGAAGGCCUUCGGGUUGUAAAGCACUUUUGUCCGGAAAGAAAUCCUCUGGGUUAAUACCUCGGGGGGAUGACGGUACCGGAAGAAUAAGCACCGGCUAACUACGUGCCAGCAGCCGCGGUAAUACGUAGGGUGCAAGCGUUAAUCGGAAUUACUGGGCGUAAGCGUGCGCAGGCGGUUUUGUAAGACGGAUGUGAAAUCCCCGGGCUUAACCUGGGAACUGCAUUCGUGACUGCAAGGCUAGAGUAUGGCAGAGGGGGGUUAGAAUUCCACGUGUGAGCAGUGAAAUGCGUAGAGAUGUGGAGGAAUACCGAUGGCGAAGGCAGCCCCCUGGGCCAAAUACUGACGCUCAUGCACGAAAGCGUGGGGGAGCAAACAGGAUUAGAUACCCUGGUAGUCCACGCCCUAAACGAUGU
rnacentral:rRNA from 1 species